UACGGAGGGUGCAAGCGUUGUCCGGAUUUAUUGGGUUUAAAGGGUGCGUAGGCGGCUUUUUAAGUCAGCGGUGAAAGACAACAGCUUAACUGUUGCAGUGCCAUUGAUACUGAAGAGCUUGAGUACAGAUGAGGUAGGCGGAAUUUAUGGUGUAGCGGUGAAAUGCAUAGAUACCAUAAAGAACACCGAUUGCGAAGGCAGCUUACUAAGCUGUAACUGACGCUGAGGCACGAAAGCGUGGGGAUCAAACCAGG
rnacentral:rRNA from 1 species